UACGAAGGGCCCGAGCGUUGCGCGGAUUCAUUGGGCUUAAAGGGUGCGUAGGCGGACAGGCAAGUGCUUUGCGAAAGCCCAUGGCUCAACCAUGGAAUCGCUUGGCAGACUGCUUGUCUUGAGGUCGACAGAGGACGCCGGAACUCUAGGUGUAGCGGUGAAAUGCAUAGAUAUCUAGAGGAACGCCAAAGGUGAAAACAGACGUCUGGGUCGAUUCUGACGCUGAGGCACGAAAGCGUGGGUAGCGAACGGG
rnacentral:misc_RNA from 1 species